CCUACGGGAGGCAGCAGUGGGGAAUAUUGCACAAUGGGCGAAAGCCUGAUGGAGCAACGCCGCGUGAGUGAUGAAGGCCUUCGGGUUGUAAAGCUCUGUCUUCUGGGACGAUAAUGACGGUACCAGAGGAGGAAGCCACGGCUAACUACUUGCCAGCAGCCGCGGUAAU
rnacentral:rRNA from 1 species